UGCGGUAGGCGUCCGUGGGGUCCCAGUAGGUUGGCUGGCGUCAGAGGAAUGGGAGGAGAAGAGAUGGGUAUGUGAGUUCCCUGAAUGCAGAGAGCAGUUGUUCCCAUGCUUUGAGCAUUGAGAGAUUACGCGGCCACAACCAUGCCUUUGAUACUCAUAAUUCAAGGGGAGCAGACACAAGCCAGUGGUUGCAGUGUCAUCGCUCGAGUCUUCUGUAAACGAUUUAUCAGCAAGUUGAGCUGAACAUGGACAUGAGGCUCCUUCAAAAGACGUCAUUGAUAAAACCGAUCUUUACACCACGGCAUGUGUAUAUGGAUGGGGCUUUCCACGGGGAAUGUGGGCACGGACACUGAGGAGGUAUCAGCUUUCAGAGCCUCAGGUUUGUACUUAGUCUUUCUCAGAGCUGCUUUGCCCGGGAAUGAGGCAGCAUCCGAGGUUCUCUUUUCUCAACAGCGCUUCUCUUCUUUAUUAUAAAAGCAAAGAUAUCUUUCCUGUUCAUUCUGAUUAUUCCAUUGUGCAGUAGGCUUUCAUCGCUUGGGAAUUUGAUAAGACCUCCAGGAGACUAGACGAAAGGACAAUCUCCAGUCUCGGUACCGAUGCUGAGAGUGAGUGACAUUAAUGAAUGGGUAAGAACAUUUUUUUUUUCAAGGUAAGUGCUUUCCAGCUCUCUGCUUCCAACAAAAUUGCAAGAGGAUCUAAUCAAGUUGUCAGCUGAUACGUUAUUUAAGAUAAAUGUUCAUGGUAGGUCAUUAUAUAAUUUUGGCAUACAUUUCAGAAAGAGCAGGCAGAAUGGAAUGACAUUAUUAUAAAUUGCUUCCCUUCCCAUCUACUUAUACAAAUGUAUGAUCACUCUGUGCUUGCAUGGACAAGAUUUAAAAAAAAUACAGACUCUCAUUCCUGUUACAUUCUAGAAGGUGAUAUUUUCAAACUUGGGUUUGAGGUUUUUUUUUAAAAACAGAUCAAGUCCCACUCGUUCAUUAAAAGAUGCAUUUUGGGGCUGGAGAGAUGGCCCGGUCAGCAAAGCGCCUGCCACAGGAGCACGGGGACUGGAGCUCAUUCAGGUCAGGUAAGAACCGGAAGCAGUUACGCGUCUCUAUAACCCAGCACUGGGAGGUAAGAACCGGAAGCAGUUACGCGUCUCUAUAACCCAGCACUGGGAGGUGGUAAAGGGACAGAGACAGGCGGAUCUCUGGCGCUCAGUCAUCAGCCAGCCUGACCCAGUCGAUGAGCUCCAGCUUCGCUGACAGUCUUUGUCUCAAAACAUAAGGGGGAAAGCAAUCAAUGAAGGAACCUGACACCAACAUCUGGCCUUACACACUCAUGCCUAUGUGUGCCCUUGCUCAUAUAAACACCCACCCACCCCCACAUAUUUCCAUUUUAUUUUUAAAUUAUUUGCCAAAAUUUGUAAUGUCAACUAUUAGUGAGACCUUAUUUUCCUGCAGUCGGAACGUCUGGUUAGCUGAGCAUUCAGACAUGCAGGACUAAGAAAACAACUCACACCUCUUAGAAAAGACUGAAUGGUUAUCCUCCACUACAGUGAGGGGUAAGCCGAGCCAGGGUGGAUUGUGGUGAGGGGGACUGAGCUUAAGUUUCCAAGUCUUGGAGGCAGUUUUGGCCUUGGAAACCACUGAAGGGAAAAAUGGACUUAGACACAGGUGAGGUGCACGGCAGCCUGGAGGUGCUGCUGAUCCCUCAAAGACUUGGUAUGUCAAAGCAUGUUUUAUGUUAGAAAUGUCAUUUGUUGAUCAUCUAUGAUACUGUCUUCAAAAGAUAUGCACAUAGGAUUUGGGACCUAAUUUUCUUAUAAUCACAAGUCUCUAAAUAGUAAGCUCAUUCUUCUACUGAAUCAAGUUACCAACAUAAUUUUUAGUUGAAUUCUUGCUGUGAGCUCUGAUUCGUGGGAAAAGGGAGACAAUGAAGAAGAGGGGCCCAUCAUCUGAAAAUGAACCCCAGAGGAUGAGCACCGAGCCCUGCUCCAGGGGCCACAUCUCAGACAACAGCAGCAGCAAGUCAAGGUUAGCCUGGAGUCACCCCACCUGGGCCCCUGGCUUCCAGGGCAAUGGAGGAUGACCAGGAAGUCCUCACUCUCAGGGGGAUCCUGGGACUCUUUGCCAGCCCUGCUGGUAUCACCGUGUGCCUGGACUAUAGUGCUGGGUCUCAUCCAUUGCUUCGGCACUGGCUGUGCCUGGGGCUGGCAAAGUGUGGAUGCCACAGAACAGGACACCACCAGGUGCUAGACACAAGACACGAGACAAAAGGCACGAGACAUGCUCUUGAGAUGACCCAGACAAUCAAGUGAUUAUCAUGCCAUCUGAGGCUGGGGCCUGACUUCUCAGAGAUGCUUCCUUCACUCUCUCCUGGUACUCCAGGUCUCUUCUCCCCUUAAGACUUAAGUCCCAUAGACUAAAAUCACAGUUUCUCCUUGAGGCUCCAAUAUCACACCUUAGUGUUGCUCUGUAGGCAGACUUUUUCUUUGAAGCCAUCUUUUCUCCAGUCUUCUGACUGUGGGCCCCAUGGCUCUUGGCGCUGGGUAUCUGCCUGACAUAGGCACUUAGAUGUGUAGGCAGCCAUCUUGAAGGCUCAAUCACAGGCCGGUCUCAGCUCUUCUGGACCCUGACGCAGUCCCCAUCUCCUAGUGUUUCACUCUCAAAGUGACAGCACACACCUUCGCUAGCAGACUUCUAUGCUCCUUUGACCCCUUUCAGUAUCUCCUGGUUAAAUCUCACCCAGGGUCUUUCUGUUGAGAGCUUCCUUCUUCCUUCCUCCUUCUCUGCCUCUCCUCAGCCACCUACCUCCCCUACCCAGCCAGUGCCUGCCUCAUCCUUCAUGAAGACCAGCUGUAAUGCUUUCAGCCACAUAAGACUGAUACUUCCGGGUUCUAGGAGUCAUGCAGGUACAGACAAGCCCUCAGGCAGAAGUAUCUAAUGGCCCAUGCAUGACCCACGUGCACACAUGAAUGGUUACAUCCACAUAUGACUCAGCUAAGCCCUUGCGUGCAUGCAUGAGCCCCGUCAUCUGCGUAUGACAUAGCCAUGUCAACCCCCUGUGCACAUGCGCCAGGCAGGUUUUAAAAGCUGAACA